rnacentral:rRNA from 1 species
UACAGAGGGUGCAAGCGUUUGUUCGGAAUUAUUGGGCGUAAAGCGCGUGUAGGCGGCAUGGCAAGUCGGGUGUGAAAGCCCUCAGCUUAACUGAGGAAGUGCGCCCGAAACUGCAGAGCUUGAGUGCCGGAGAGGGUGGCGGAAUUCCCCAAGUAGAGGUGAAAUUCGUAGAUAUGGGGAGGAACACCGGUGGCGAAGGCGGCCACCUGGACGGUAACUGACGCUGAGACGCGAAAGCGUGGGGAGCAAACAGG